AACGAACGCUGGCGGCAGGCCUAACACAUGCAAGUCGAACGCUCCAGCAAUGGAGAGUGGCAGACGGGUGAGUAACGCGUGGGAACCUUCCCUAUGGUUCGGAAUAGCCCAGGGAAACUUGGGGUAAUACCGGAUAAGCCCUUCGGGGGAAAGAUUUAUCGCCAUUGGAUGGGCCCGCGUCGGAUUAGCUGGUUGGGGAGGUAACGGCGCACCAAGGCGACGAUCCGUAGCUGGUCUGAGAGGAUGAUCAGCCACACUGGGACUGAGACACGGCCCAGACUCCUACGGGAGGCAGCAGUGGGGAAUAUUGGACAAUGGGCGCAAGCCUGAUCCAGCCAUGCCGCGUGAGUGACGAAGGCCUUAGGGUUGUAAAGCUCUUUUGGCGGGGAAGAUAAUGACGGUACCCGCAGAAUAAGCUCCGGCUAACUUCGUGCCAGCCGCCGCCGUAAUAC
rnacentral:rRNA from 1 species